rnacentral:rRNA from 1 species
UGGGGAAUUUUGGACAAUGGGCGCAAGCCUGAUCCAGCCAUGCCGCGUGUGGGAAGAAGGCCUUCGGGUUGUAAACCACUUUUGUCAGGGAAGAAACGGCUCUUACUAAUAUUAGGAGCUAAUGACGGUACCUGAAGAAUAAGCACCGGCUAACUACGUGCCAGCAGCCGCGGUAAUACGUAGGGUGCAAGCGUUAAUCGGAAUUACUGGGCGUAAAGCGUGCGCAGGCGGCUUUGCAAGACAGAUGUGAAAUCCCCGGGCUCAACCUGGGAACUGCAUUUGUGACUGCAAGGCUAGAGUACGGUAGAGGGGGAUGGAAUUCCGCGUGUAGCAGUGAAAUGCGUAGAUAUGCGGAGGAACACCGAUGGCGAAGGCAAUCCCCUGGACCUGUACUGACGCUCAUGCACGAAAGCGUGGGGAGCAAACAGGAUUAGAUACCCUCGUAGUCCCUGAGCGGGCUGGCAAGGCGCAU